CGGGGAGUAGCGCAGCGGUAGCGCACCUGCUUUGGGAGCAGGAGGUCGGGAGUUCGAAUCUCCUCUCCCCGA
rnacentral:tRNA from 1 species